rnacentral:rRNA from 1 species
ACUAAAUAGAUACCCGGGUAGUCCACGCCCUAAACGAUGUCUACUAGUUGUUGGUGGAGUAAAAUCCAUGAGUAAACGCAGCUAAACGCGUGAAGUAGACCGCCUGGGGAGUACGGUCGCAAGAUUAAAACUCAAAGGAAUUGACGGGGGCCGCACAAGCGGUGGAUUAUGUGGAUUAAUUCGAUGCAACGCGAAAAACCUUAACCUGGCCUUGACAUGCCACUAACGAAGCAGAGAUGCAUUAGGUGCCCGUAAGGGAAAGUGGACACAGGUGCUGCAUGGCUGUCGUCAGCUCGUGUCGUGAGAUGUUGGGUUAAGUCCCGCAACGAGCGCAACCCUUGCCACUU